rnacentral:rRNA from 1 species
AGUGAAUAGAUACCCUGGUAGUCCCAGCUGUAAACGAUGCGCGUUAGGUGUAUCGGUGACCACGAGUCACCGAGGUGCCGAAGGGAAACCGUGAAACGUGCCGCCUGGGAAGUACGGUCGCAAGGCUGAAACUUAAAGGAAUUGGCGGGGGAGCACCACAACAGGUGGAGCCUGCGGUUUAAUCGGACUCAACGCCGGGAAGCUCACCGGAUAAGACAGCUGAAUGAUAGCCGGGUUGAAGACUCUGCUUGACUAGCUGAGAGGAGGUGCAUGGCCGUCGUCAGUUCGUACUGUGAAGCAUCCUGUUAAGUCAGGCAACGAGCGAGACCCACGCCAACAGUUGCCAGCAUGUCCUCCGGGAUGGUGGGGACACUGUUGGGACCGCCUCUGCUAAAGAGGAGGAAGGAAUGGGCAACGGUAGGUCAGCAUGCCCCGAAUUAUCCGGGCUACACGCGGGCUACAAUGGUCAGGACAAUGGGUAUCAACACCGAAAGGUGAAGGCAAUCUCCUAAACCUGUCCUUAGUUCGGAUUGU